rnacentral:rRNA from 1 species
UCCUGGCUCAGAUUGAACGCUGGCGGCAGGCCUAACACAUGCAAGUCGAGCGGAUGAAAGGAGCUUGCUCCUGGAUUCAGCGGCGGACGGGUGAGUAAUGCCUAGGAAUCUGCCUGGUAGUGGGGGACAACGUUUCGAAAGGAACGCUAAUACCGCAUACGUCCUACGGGAGAAAGCAGGGGACCUUCGGGCCUUGCGCUAUCAGAUGAGCCUAGGUCGGAUUAGCUAGUUGGUGAGGUAAUGGCUCACCAAGGCGACGAUCCGUAACUGGUCUGAGAGGAUGAUCAGUCACACUGGAACUGAGACACGGUCCAGACUCCUACGGGAGGCAGCAGUGGGGAAUAUUGGACAAUGGGCGAAAGCCUGAUCCAGCCAUGCCGCGUGUGUGAAGAAGGUCUUCGGAUUGUAAAGCACUUUAAGUUGGGAGGAAGGGCAGUAAAUUAAUACUUUGCUGUUUUGACGUUACCGACAGAAUAAGCACCGGCUAACUCUGUGCCAGCAGCCGCGGUAAUACAGAGGGUGCAAGCGUUAAUCGGAAUUACUGGGCGUAAAGCGCGCGUAGGUGGUUUGUUAAGUUGGAUGUGAAAUCCCCGGGCUCAACCUGGGAACUGCAUCCAAAACUGGCAAGCUAGAGUAUGGUAGAGGGUGGUGGAAUUUCCUGUGUAGCGGUGAAAUGCGUAGAUAUAGGAAGGAACACCAGUGGCGAAGGCGACCACCNGGACNGAU